rnacentral:rRNA from 1 species
AUUGAACGCUAGCGGGAUGCCUUACACAUGCAAGUCGAACGGAGUGGUGAACGGGUGAGUAAUGUAUCGGAACGUGCCCAGUAGCGGGGGAUAACUACGCGAAAGCGUAGCUAAUACCGCAUACUAUUGGAGCGGCCGAUAUCGGAUUAGCUAGCUGGUGGGGUAACGGCUCACCAAGGCGACGAUCCCUCGCUGGUUUGAGAGGACGACCAGCCACACGGGGACUGAAACACGGCCCAGACUCCGACGGGACGCAGCAGUGGGGAAGUUGGGACAAUGGGAGAAAGCCUGAUCCAGCCAUCCCGCGUGUGUGAUGAAGGCCUUCGGGUUGUAAAGCACUGUUGGCAGGGAAGCGGUACCUGCAGAAUAAGCACCGGCUAACUCCGUGCCAGCCGCCGCGGUAAUUC